rnacentral:rRNA from 1 species
GAUGAACGCUGGCGGCGUGCCUAAUACAUGCAAGUCGAGCGAACAGACGAGGAGCUUGCUCCUCUGACGUUAGCGGCGGACGGGUGAGUAACACGUGGAUAACCUACCUAUAAGACUGGGAUAACUUCGGGAAACCGGAGCUAAUACCGGAUAAUAUAUUGAACCGCAUGGUUCAAUAGUGAAAGACGGUUUUGCUGUCACUUAUAGAUGGAUCCGCGCCGCAUUAGCUGGUUGGUAAGGUAACGGCUUACCAAGGCAACGAUGCGUAGCCGACCUGAGAGGGUGAUCGGCCACACUGGAACUGAGACACGGUCCAGACUCCUAAGGGAGGCAGCAGUAGGGAAUCUUCCGCAAUGGGCGAAAGCCUGACGGAGCAACGCCGCGUGAGUGAUGAAGGUCUUCGGAUCGUAAAACUCUGUUAUUAGGGAAGAACAAAUGUGUAAGUAACUAUGCACGUCUUGACGGUACCUAAUCAGAAAGCCACGGCUAACUACGUG